GACGAACGCUGGCGGCGUGCUUAACACAUGCAAGUCGAACGCUGAAGCUCAGCUUUUGUUGGGUGGAUGAGUGGCGAACGGGUGAGUAACACGUGAGUAACCUGCCCCCUUCUUUGGGAUAACGCCCGGAAACGGGUGCUAAUACUGGAUAUUCACUGGUCUUCGCAUGGGGGUUGGUGGAAAGGGUUUUUCUGGUGGGGGAUGGGCUCGCGGCCUAUCAGCUUGUUGGUGGGGUGAUGGCCUACCAAGGCUUUGACGGGUAGCCGGCCUGAGAGGGUGACCGGUCAGAUUGGGACUGAGAUACGGCCCAGACUCCGACGGGAGGCAGCAGUGGGGAAUAUUGCACAAUGGGCGCAAGCAUGAUGCAGCGACGCCGCGUGAGGGAUGGAGGCCUUCGGGUUGUGAACCUCUUUCGCUCAUGGUCAAGCCGCAACAAUGGUUGUGGUGAGGGUAGUGGGUAAAGAAGCGCCGGCUAACUACGUG
rnacentral:rRNA from 1 species